rnacentral:rRNA from 1 species
AUGCUUGUACCUUUAAGAUUGAGCUGUGAUGGGGAAGCACUUUCGAGUGCGAAGUAUCUGAUGUCACACUGCCAAGAAAAUCUUCUAGCGUUUAAUUAUAACCUACCCGUACCGCAAACCGACACAGGUAGUCGAGGCGAGUAGCCUCAGGUGAGCGAGAGAACUCUCGUUAAGGAACUCGGCAAAAUGACCCCGUAACUUCGGGAGAAGGGGUGCUCUACAUUUGUAGAGCCGCAGUGAAUAGGCCCAAGCGACUGUUUAUCAAAAACACAGCUCUCUGCUAAAUCGUAAGAUGAUGUAUAGGGGGUGACGCCUGCCCGGUGCUGGAAGGUUAAGAGGAGUGCUUAGCGUAAGCGAAGGUAUGAAUUGAAGCCCCAGUAAACGGCGGCCGUAACAAUAACGGUCCUAAGGUAGCGAAAUUCCUUGUCGGGUAAGUUCCGACCCGCACGAAAGGCGUAACGAUUUGGGCACUGUCUCAACGAGAGACUCGGUGAAAUUUUAGUACCUGUGAAGAUGCAGGUUACCCGCGACAGGACGGAAAGACCCCAUGGAGCUUUACUGCAAGUUGAUAUUGAGUAUCCGUUGCACAUGUACAGGAUAGGUAGGAGCCAUUGAACUGAGGACGCUAGUUUUCAGUGAGGCGUUGUUGGGAUACUACCCUUGUGUCAUGGCUACUCUAACCCGCACGGCUAAUCGUCGUGGGAGACAGUGUCUGCUGGGCAGUUUGACUGGGGCGGUCGCCUCCUAAAGAGUAACGGAGGCGCUCAAAGUUUCCCUCAGCAUGGUUGGAAAUCAUGCGUAGAGUGUAAAGGUAUAAGGGAGAUUGACUGCGAGACAUACAAGUCGAGCAGGUACGAAAGUAGGACUUAGUGAUCCGGUGGUACCGCAUGGAAGGGCCAUCGCUCAACGGAUAAAAGCUACCCUGGGGAUAACAGGCUUAUCUCCCCCAAGAGUUCACAUCGACGGGGAGGUUUGGCACCUCGAUGUCGGCUCGUCGCAUCCUGGGGCUGUAGUCGGUCCCAAGGGUUGGGCUGUUCGCCCAUUAAAGCGGCACGCGAGCUGGGUUCAGAACGUCGUGAGACAGUUCGGUCCCUAUCCGUCGCGGGCGUAGGAAAUUUGAGAGGAUCUGCCCUUAGUACGAGAGGACCGGGGUGGACUUACCGCUGGUGUACCAGUUGUCUUGCCAAAGGCAUCGCUGGGUAGCUAUGUAGGGAACGGAUAAACGCUGAAAGCAUCUAAGUGUGAAACCAACCUCAAGAUGAGAUUUCCCAUUCUUUAUGAAUUAAGAGCCCUGAGAGAUGAUCAGGUAGAUAGCUAGAAGUGGAAGGGUAGUGAUACUUGGAGCGGACUAGUACUAAUAGCUCGAGGACUUUACC